rnacentral:rRNA from 1 species
AUAUUGCACAAUGGGCGAAAGCCUGAUGCAGCAACGCCGCGUGAGGGACGACGGCCUUCGGGUUGUAAAGCUCUUUUACCCGGGAUGAUAAUGACAGUACCGGGAGAAUAAGCCCCGGCUAACUCCGUGCCAGCAGCCGCGGUAAUACGGAGGGGGCUAGCGUUGUUCGGAAUUACUGGGCGUAAAGCGCACGUAGGCGGCUUUGCAAGUUAGAGGUGAAAGCCCGGGGCUCAACUCCGGAAUUGCCUUUAAAACUGCAUCGCUAGAAUUGUGGAGAGGUAAGUGGAAUUCCGAGUGUAGAGGUGAAAUUCGUAGAUAUUCGGAAGAACACCAGUGGCGAAGGCGACUUACUGGACACAUAUUGACGCUGAGGUGCGAAAGCGUGGGGAGCAAACAGG